rnacentral:rRNA from 1 species
AUUGAACGCUGGCGGCAGGCCUAACACAUGCAAGUCGAGCGGCGCGGCAGACGGGGGAGGAAUACCAAGGAAUCUGCCUGGGCGUGAGGGAUAAAGUCAGGAAACGGGAGCUAAUGCCGCAUCCUAUCAGAAGAGCAUGUGUCGGAUUAGGUAGUGGGUGGGGGAAAGGUCGACAAAGGCGACGAUCCGUAACUGGUCGGAGAGGAUGAUCAGGCACACUGGAACUGAGACACGGUCCAGACUCCUACGGGAGGCAGCAGUGGGGAAUAUUGGACAAUGGGCGCAAGACUGAUCCAGCCAUGCCGCGUGUGUGAAGAAGGUCUUCGGAUUGUAAAGUACUUUAAGUUGGGAGGCGUUACCAACAGAAUAAGCACCGGCUAACUCCGUGCCAGCAGCCGCGGUAAUAC